CGACCGGCGCACGGGUGAGUAACGCGUAUGCAACCUGCCUGAUACCGGGGUAUAGCCCAUGGAAACGUGGAUUAACACCCCAUAGUACUUUUAUCCUGCAUGGGAUGUGAGUUAAAUGUUCAAGGUAUCGGAUGGGCAUGCGUCCUAUUAGUUAGUUGCGGGGUAACAGCCCACCAAGACGAUGAUAGGUAGGGGUUCUGAGAGGAAGGUCCCCCACAUUGGAACUGAGACACGGUCCAA
rnacentral:rRNA from 1 species